GGCCUGAAAACUGAAAACCACUCUGCAGGCAGACAGAGGCUGAUUUCCAUAUGUUGCAAAUCGUGUCAAGUGUCACAGCAGCAGGAGAAAGAGGCCAUGACCUCCUUGUGACCCUUGGCCCACGAAUGACAGAUUCCCCCAGAGCACUUUCAUCUUGUCAGAUUCCACGCCUGUGAGCUCAGCCUUCACCUGGAAGCCAAGCAGCUGAGCAGAAGU
rnacentral:lncRNA from 1 species